UUGCAUCCCCCGCCGUUCCAGGGACCCCCAGCGUUGGCCUUUCUUCCUCUCACAACCCUCAGACACCUCAUAGGAGCCUAAAGUGGUCACCGUGGGUCCUGUGA
rnacentral:miRNA from 2 species